CUUAAUAAAUAGGCCAUCUCAUAUCUGCAUUUGAUGCAUCCAUUGUACACUAGAAAUGUUGAGGAACAAGAGCUUGGCGGUCGCUCUGACAUGGAUGCUGCUAGCUGCAUUCCUCGUCCUUUGUUCGUGUGCAGCAGCUAGCACGAAACCUGCUGAACGCGUCGUGCAUCCACAAGCCCCUAAUCACCUGCGCCAGAGUCUGCUGCGGCAAAAGCUGCUGCUAACAUCAAAACCAGCCCAGAAAAACUACAAGUGAAGAAUGUGUUGCUAUCAUAUGUAUCUUGAAACUGAAUGUGAUGCAUUGUACUAUAACUUAAGAAUACGGUAUCAAAUAGAAUAAAAAUUUUCAAUAAA